UUGAGCUCCAAUUCAGGUAGUAGACCCUUAGAAGGUUUCUUGCUGCCUUCCUUCUAUAAAUUUUAAUUUUUCUCAUAAAUUUCUUAGCUUGAAAUCGAUCCUUUAAUCAAGUGUUUCUUAAUUGAAACCCUAAUUUCUCAAAGCCUCUCCUUUCUUGUCCGUAGCUAAUCAGAGACCGAGUCAUGCAUGGCGAAAAGUUCCUUCAAGCUUGAGCAUCCAUUGGAAAAGAGGCAGGAUGAAGUUGCUCGAAUAAGGGCCAAAUAUCCUGACAGAAUUCCCAUUAUUGUUGAGAAGGCUGGAAAGAGUGACGUUCCUGAUAUUGAUAAAAAAGAAGUUAGUUGCAUUUUCCCUGUUUAAAGUUGUCUUCGUAGAUUUUUGUUCUCCGGAAGCUAUUAUUCUAAAGUGAAUUGAUUUAUAUUGAACAUGGAAACAUCAAUGCUUCACCAUUCGAGUUAUUCGAUCUAUUACUUGCCAAGCUUGCCCUGGUAAUCUGUUUAUGUCCUUUUUCUUAAAAUUCUUUUUUAUUGUGGCUUUAGGUAUCUCGUUCCUGCUGAUUUGACUGUCGGACAAUUUGUUUAUGUUGUCCGUAAAAGGAUUAAGCUUAAGCUUAGUGCCGAAAAAGCUAUAUUUGUCUUUGUGAACAACACCCUCCCUCCUACUGCUGCCUUGAUGUCUGCAAUUUAUGAGGAAAACAAGGAUGAAGAUGGUUUUCUUUAUAUGACUUACAGUGGAGAGAACACAUUUGGUUCCUCUUGAAGCAUAAUGUUUUCAAUCUAUUUGAAUAGCUAAGAAGGUGUAAAUUCUCAGUGGUACCCCACCCAAUUAGGCUAAUGCUUUGUUCUUGACAAUGACAGUUCUAUAACUGUCUGAAUUUCCUACUUUUUAUUUUCUAUAGUUUGAAUCUCAGAAUCCGACUUUAUCAGUGAUUUCCAGUUGUAAA